rnacentral:lncRNA from 1 species
UGCGCGUCCCCCGCCUCCCGCCGCGCGCACCGCCAACGGCUACUCCGGUCGUGAACGUCCUGCCGGGCCCCCCAGUCCCCUGCUCUGGGGCCUGUGUCCCCUUGAGCUCUGACUCCACCCCCACCGCAGCCAGGCUGGCCGCCGAGCGCUGGCCGGGGUGGUCCUGGAGACCAGGAGACAGGACAGUCACCGUGCAAACCCCCAGCCCUCCGUCUGGACCCCAGGGCCCGGCUGGCACCCUCUCCCAAGGUCAGAGGCACCGAUCCCGAUUUCAGUGGAGGAAACAGGCUCAGAGAGUCACCACACGAGCUGGCCUGUCAUGGGCCGUGACGUGGCCCUGCCGUGGGUUUGAGUCCAGACCAACCUGGCCCCAAAGGCUGUCCUUGCACAGGAGCCUGAGGCUCUGAGCCCAGCCUUGGAGGCUGACGUGGAUGCAGGAGGUCCCUCACCUGCUGGUUGGAGAGCAGCGAGAAGCUGACGUUGCAGACCCUGAGACCCAGCCCUCAUGUGCCCGAGGCUACCAAGGGCGUGUGGAGCUGAAGAUGAGGGCUGCUGGAGGCUGAGGGCCAUGGGGAUGCUGAGGACGGAAUGUAUACUCCUGGCCCCCAAGGAGUGGAGGAUCGGCAGAGCCCAGACCCCACAGGGCACCCCGUGCCAGCGUCCAACUCCAGGGGCUUCUAGGAGCUGGGGCAUCUUGGUCCCCUCUGGAGCCCAACAGAACUCGGAACCGGUAAGCAGGCGCCUCAUCCUAGAGAAGCCCCUGCCCAGCUGGCUUGGCCGGAGCCCUUGAUGAGCAGCGUGUCCUCCUGUGCGUCCUGAGGUCCCAAGGCCGCAGCCACAGACGUUGUCUGGUCAUUUGCCCAGAAGAACCAACG